UAAGGAAUAUUGGGCAAUGGGCGAAAGCCUGACCCAGCCAUGCCGCGUGCAGGAUGACAGCUCUAGUAGUUGUAAACUGCUUUUAUAUGGGAAGAAACCCUCGAACGUGUUUGAGGCUGACGGUACCAUAUGAAUAAGGAUCGGCUAACUCCGUGCCAGCAGCCGCGGUAAUACGGAGGAUCCAAGCGUUAUCCGGAUUUAUUGGGUUUAAAGGGUGCGCAGGCGGAAUGGUAAGUCAGUGGUGAAAGACUGCAGCUUAACUGUAGAAUUGCCAUUGAUACUGCUAUUCUUGAGUGCAGUUGAAGUGGGCGGAAUGUGUCAUGUAGCGGUGAAUGCAUAGAUAUGACACAGAACACCGAUUGCGUAGGCAACUCACUAACUGUAACUGACGCUGAGGCACGAAGCGUGGGGAGCAACA
rnacentral:rRNA from 1 species